UGUGAGAGAUUGGUUUAAGCCAGGCUACAGUUAGCUGGACUCCACUUCAAUGAGAACAGUGGCAGGGACCAAGCCAAACUAAAGAAUGGGGAAGAACAAUUCAACAUUUCAUUCCCCAAAUUCAAGAAGGGAGGCUUUUCAGUGAAACGUGUUCUGACCAAGUGCACAUUCAACUAUGUGACUGAACUUCAGAAAGAGGUGUGCAGAAUCAUCCGAGCUGGAGAAAUCUGUCAGAAUGAAGAACCCCCACCCCCACUUUCCAGUGCCUUCGAACAUCCGGAUAAGCAGGAAGCCAUCAACAAAUACCAGAGUGGAAAACGCUACGUGGAGCAUGUGGGGAAGUAACUUGUGUUGGACUUCUAGAUUCCUGUGUAAACUGUAUGUGGUGGGAGCCAAUUUGGUUUGACGACCAUCAAGUUGAAGCUAUCACAAAUUGCAUCCCCGGCCUUGGGCCUAGUCAUCAUUGAUUUUGUACGGGUCCUGUUUAACAAACAUAACAUCACCAGUAUUGGCAUUUUAUAUGAGCAAUGUAUUUAAAA